rnacentral:rRNA from 1 species
UACGUAGGGGGCAAGCGUUGUCCGGAUUUAUUGGGCGUAAAGAGCGUGUAGGCGGCCAUGCAGGUCAGCUGUGAAAACUCGAGGCUCAACCUCGAGACGUCGGUUGAAACCGCAUGGCUAGAGUCCGGAAGAGGAGAGUGGAAUUCCCGGUGUAGCGGUGAAGUGCGCAGAUAUCGGGAAGAACACCUAUGGCGAAGGCAGCUCUCUGGGACGGUACUGACGCUGAGACGCGAAAGCGUGGGGAGCGAACAGG